rnacentral:lncRNA from 1 species
AUGUGCAGCGCUCGCAGCCGCUUGGCCUCGUCGAUGAACGGCCGCUUCUCCGUCUCCGACAAAAGUUUCCACUCGGCGCCCAGGCGCUUGCUGAUCUCCGAGUUGUGCAUCUUGGGGUUCUCCUGGGCCAUCUUGCGCCGCUGCCCGCGGGACCACACCAUGAAGGCGUUCAUGGGCCGCUUGACGCGGUCCGGGCUGUUCUUCUGGUUGCCGCCCGCCGCCGCCGCGGUGGAGUUGCCGCCGCCGCCGCCGCCGCCGCCGCCCCCCGAAGUUUGCUGCGGGCCCGGCGGCUUCAGCUCCGUCUCCAUCAUGUUGUACAUGCGGGCGCUGUGCGCGGGCCCGGCCCGCCGGCGGCCGCCGACCCUCGGCCCGGCCGGGACUUUGGGGGGCCCGCGGGCGGGCGGGCGGGGGAGGAGGAGGAGGGAGGCGGGCGGGGGUGUCGCGAGCGCAGGGCUCCGCGAGAAAAAGCAGGCGAAGAAUAAUUUGGGGGAAGAAAAGAGAGAGAGAGAGAGAGAAGCAAACUGGAAUCGAGAUCAAAAAAAGCGCUUCCCUCCUCUUCUGGCCGAUCCUGCCGCCGCCGAUGAUUGUUAUUAUUAUUUUUUGGAAAGGCUUAAGCCUGGGGCUCAAACUUCUCUCCCUUUCUUUCUCUCUCCUCUUCUUUCUCUCAGUCCUAGUCUUAAAGAGGCAGCAAACUACUUUCCCCCUUUUGCAAACACUCUCUUCUCUGCCUUGACAACUCCUGAUACUUUUUUGAACAAGUUAAUAGACAACCAUCCAUGUGAUGGGGGCUGUCAGGGAAUAAAUGGGUUUCCGGCGACCAAUCAGCGCGCGGCGGCUCCUCCACUCGAGCCCGGCCUCGCCGCCGGGUUUUGCAUGAAAGGGGGCGGGGCCUGCCGCGCCGCAGGCCGCGCGGGGGAGGAGGGGGAGGGGGGAGGGGGGGAGGGGGGGGAGGGGGAGGCGGAGGGGGGAGGCGGCUCCCACAGCCAGCCUGCCAGCCACUGA